rnacentral:rRNA from 1 species
AUUGAACGCUGGCGGCAGGCUUAACACAUGCAAGUCGAGCGAGCGGCGGACGGGUGAGUAAUGUCUGGGAAACUGCCUGAUGGAGGGGGAUAACUACUGGAAACGGUAGCUAAUACCGCAUACCAUCGGAUGUGCCCAGAGGGGAUUAGCUAGUAGGUGGGGUAAAGGCUCACCUAGGCGACGAUCCCUAGCUGGUCUGAGAGGAUGACCAGCCACACUGGAACUGAGACACGGUCCAGACUCCUACGGGAGGCAGCAGUGGGGAAUAUUGCACAAUGGGCGCAAGCCUGAUGCAGCCAUGCCGCGUGUGUGAAGAAGGCCUUCGGGUUGUAAAGCACUUUCAGCGAGGAGGCGUUACUCGCAGAAGAAGCACCGGCUAACUCCGUGCCAGCAGCCGCGGUAAUUC